AGCUGUAUUUAUGACUAAAGCAGAAUACUUCCAGCGACACACCCAACUCAGCCUUGUUGAACAAUAUUGAACUGCAGACAACUAUACAGACAUUAGAGCUUAAACAUUUUUUUUACCUUAGUAGACAAGCAAGUGCUGCCAGACUCUCCCAGGAAAGGCAAAUGGAACAGGUGGUGCUUCAGUAACAGAGAUGAACAGGUGUAUAACAUAAGUUCAUCAGCAAGAAAUGCAAAGUAAAAACGGGUUUUAAAACAAGCUUCUGUUUGUGCUCAGUGAAAUCAAAUUUUUAGCUUGGAAUAGGAAAGUUAUCAAAGUUCUUCUUCCCUUUUUUGAGUUCUGGACAAAGGAAGCCUAUGUGAGCACAUCCUGGAGCAUAAAACACUCGAAGAAAUGCUUCAUGUAACAGACGUCCCGGUGCUGGACACCAUGCAAUGGAAUCACCAUCAGGGCUUCGACUGUGGAGUGCUCUUGAAAAGACAGAUUAAGUAUUGGCACCAGGACUUCCAACUGAGCUCUGGAAAUACUGCUGUCCAGCUGGCUCUGACUCAUUUAGUCCUACAAAUAAAAGUGCUACAAAUCUAA
rnacentral:lncRNA from 1 species